UACGUAGGGUGCAAGCGUUGUCCGGAAUUAUUGGGCGUAAAGAGCUCGUAGGCGGUCUGUCGCGUCGGAUGUGAAAAUCCAGGGCUCAACCCUGGACCUGCAUUCGAUACGGGCAGACUAGAGUUCGGUAGGGGAGACUGGAAUUCCUGGUGUAGCGGUGAAAUGCGCAGAUAUCAGGAGGAACACCGGUGGCGAAGGCGGAUCUCUGGGCCAUUACUGACGCUGAGGAGCGAAAGCGUGGGGAGCGAACAGG
rnacentral:rRNA from 1 species